GAUGAACGCUGGCGGCGUGCCUAAUACAUGCAAGUCGAGCGAACAGACGAGGAGCUUGCUCCUCUGACGUUAGCGGCGGACGGGUGAGUAACACGUGGAUAACCUACCUAUAAGACUGGGAUAACUUCGGGAAACCGGAGCUAAUACCGGAUAAUAUAUUGAACCGCAUGGUUCAAUAGUGAAAGACGGUUUUGCUGUCACUUAUAGAUGGAUCCGCGCCACAUUAGCUAGUUGGUAAGGUAACGGCUUACCAAGGCAACGAUGCGUAGCCGACCUGAGAGGGUGAUCGGCCACACUGGAACUGAGACACGGUCCAGACUCCGACGGGAGGCAGCAGUAGGGAAUCUGCCGCAAUGGGCGAAAGCUUGACGGAGCAACGCCGCGUGAGUGAUGAAGGUCUUCGGAUCGUAAAACGCUGUUAUGAGGGAAGAACAAAUGUGUAAGUAACUAUGCACGUCUUGACGGUACCUAAUCAGAAAGCCACGGCUAACUACGU
rnacentral:rRNA from 1 species